AAGAAGGAGUGAGUUCAAGGUGAUGUUGGCUUCCAGAAUGUGAGACUGGCUUUUAUACAGGGAAAUUGUUUCUUAUUCAAUUUUGGGGUUACCAGAGGCAAAGAGUCUGAUGAACCCAUGCCACCUGGCCUUGAUAAAGAGCAGCUAUUUUCCUGGCAAGUGCACAUGCCCAUCUAUGCUAAGGGUUGGCAUGAUGGCAGGUUAGUUAGAAAGCAGCUCUCAUCCUGAGGAAACUUGGGACCUGGGGAGGGAAAUCUCCACCUGGAAAACUGUGAUCCCAUGGUGUUGCUGAAAAGGGCAUCUGUGCCCAGGCAAUGGGAGCCCAGAGGACAGAUCAGCCACUGAUGGACACCAGGGAGGGCAGUGGAGAGUCUGUGGAUGAUAAGCUGGGGGUCAAAGGGUAAAUAGCAAGUCCCAGGAGAAACAUGUCCUAAACAGAGGGCACACUCUGAGUAAGGUCUGGCCUCACAUGGAGGAAGCGGAGUGAAGUUUGGUGCCAGGGAGAAGGUCUUUGUGUACCGGGGGUGUGGAGGGGCAGUAGCAUUAGGUGAGAGAUUUGAGCCCUGUUUAGCCUCAACAAAGCACAUCCCUAACAAACCUAUGACGUGAUUGUGUGCAGUUCAUUUUGAUGAUGAGAUGGCAGUGGCAUAAUUGCUGAGAAACGGCUUUUUCUCUAGCCAUCCUUUCCUGAAUUGUAAGAUAAUUUUAUGACACCAUCCAGAGAAGGACCCUCAGUGAUAAAAGCAUUGUCCUGCUCCUUCUUGGAGCUCCUCUAUCACCCAGCACAUUACCUUGCUUAAAAUAAAUUUUUAAUAUUGCUUUCUAGAAAUGAAUUAAACUGUAAACUUUUGGUUUUUAGCUCAUCCUAUCCACCCAGCCAAUGUUGAGUGAUAACUGGGAGAAAUAUAAUAAAAGAAGUUCAGAUCUCAAAGGAUGCCAGGAUAUUGGCUAUCCACCCAUCUCACGGAAAUGAAGAUAUCGAGUGAUACAGUUUGGCUCUGCGUCCCCACUCCAAUCUCAUGUCCAGUUGUAAUUCCCAGUGUUGGAGGAGGGGCCUGGUGGGAGUUUCCUCAUCUGUAAAAGGAGGACGAGGAUUCCUGGCCUGACUUCUGCGUUGGUGGAUGGUGAAGAUAAAACAGGAUGAAAAGCACAGAAGCACAGUGGGACUGCUUUGACUGCACCUGCGCAUGCAACUGGGCAAAUGCCCGUCUUGGACGGACAGGUGAUGACUCUCAUUCUUCACGCCCUUCUCCACUCUUUCCUGCUUUUCAUCCCUAACUUGUAACAGAAACCUACACAUUAUGGUAAAAAUGACAUCUGAGCAAUUUAGGAAUUUCAGACGAGAUAUUUAUUUCUUGAACACCUACUGUGUGUCAGCCACUUUUUAAGGUACUUUGCCACUCAGAAGAAAGGCAGGGUGAGGAUUAGUAUAUAUUACGUGGAUGGAGUUUGUGUUGCGUGUGUGUGUUGUUUGUGUUGUUUUGUCACGUGACUUAUUUCAUAGACUCAUUCUUAAAACCACCCAAGGUUAGGCAUUCUUAUUGGCAACUUACUCGUGAAUAACUGAUAAGCCUCACACAAAUGAAGUUACACACACACACACACACACACACACACACACACAUCACAGAAUAAAAGCUUUAUGAGACUUACCCUUACCA
rnacentral:lncRNA from 13 species